AAUAGAUACCCCGGUAGUCCAUGCCGUAAACGUUGGCACUAGGUGUGGGACCCCCUCAACGGGUUCCGUGCCGUAGCUAACGCAUUAAGUGCCCCGCCUGGGGAGUACGGCCGCAAGGCUAAAACUCAAAGGAAUUGACGGGGGCCCGCACAAGCAGCGGAGCAUGCUGCUUAAUUCGAGGCAACGCGAAGAACCUUACCUGGGUUUGACAUGUACGGAAAAGCCACAGAGAUGUGGUGUCCUUUUUGGGCCGUACACAGGUGGUGCAUGGUUGUCGCCAGCUCGUGUCAUGAGAUGUUGGGUUAAGUCCCGCAACGAGCGCAACCCUUGUCCUAUGUUGCCAGCGGGUAAUGCCGGGGACUCGUAGGAGACUGCCGGGGACAACUCGGAGGAAGGUGGGGAUGACGUCAAAUCAUCAUGCCCCUUAUGUCCAGGGCUGCAAACAUGCUACAAUGGCCAGUACAAAGGGCUGCUAUACCGCGGAGGUUGAGCGAAUCCCACAAAGCUGGUCUCAGUUCGGAUUGGAGU
rnacentral:rRNA from 1 species